UUGGUAAGCAGCAUGAGUUUACAUGGGAAAAAAAAGGAUUUUUACAUUUUUUUUCCUUUAAUAGCGUUUCUCCCCUUUGUUUUGCUCUGUACAAUUAUUACAGUAUUGUUUGAUUACAUUGCUCCUUUUUUAUCCCUCUGUGCAGACCAAGCAUGCUGAAAAUGAAAGGCAGCAUGUAACCUUAUGAAGUCACUAAUUGUAGUACUGCAGAUUUGACCAAAAGUUUGGAUGCAUGCAAAACUGAAGGUUUUUUUAUAAGUUUAUCAUCUUGAGUCUUGUAGAUUCUGUUCAAUGAAAAGUCAGAUUUAUAUGUGCAUAGAGCUAGUAGGGGAAAUUUAUGGCAACAUGCAAAGUGGGUCCAUAACUGAACAUUUGAAUGUGGGACAAAAUGGAGCUGCAUUGGCUUUUGAUGCCUUGUCUUGAUUUUGUGUUAUUCUAAAUGUUCCUGGAUUCAAUGAGCAUAACAACUGUGGCAGUCUGGAUUUUGAAAAGUACUGAUGGUAUCUGGAAGGCACCAGUUUUCUUCAAGUCCCAUUGGCAAAGACAGAGAGAGAAGGACAGGUCCCAUUCAGGGACCUGAAUGGAACAGGACAUAAGGACACUAAUGACACUUCCCUCUACUUUCUCAGGCCCUGCCCUGGAUCUGAGCAGGGAAGCAAUGUCAGAAGGAAUUAUACCCUCUGGCUGGCUUAGCCCGAGCGAUAAGGACGGCAGAGAGCGUGACUUU